rnacentral:rRNA from 1 species
GGACUACACGGGUAUCUAAUCCCGUUCGCUCCCCUGGCUUUCGCACAUUAGCGUCAGGAGCUUGCCAGGAGACUGCCUUCGCCUUUGGUGUUCCUCCGGAUAUCUACGCAUUUCACCACUACACCCGGAAUUCCGUCUCCCUCUCAAGUCCUCAAGUCCAGCAGUUUUCAAAGGCCUUGCUCAGUUAAGCCGAGCACUGUCACUCCAAACUUGCUGCACCGCCUGCGUGCGCUUUACGCCCAGUAACUCCGGACAACGCUCGCCCCCUACGUAUUACCGCGGCUGCUGGCAC